rnacentral:rRNA from 1 species
GAGUUUGAUUCUGGCUCAGGAUGAACGCUGACAGAAUGUUUAACACAUGCAAGUCGAUGAGGAAGGGGCCUACGGGCUUUGGUACUCAUGGCGGACGGGUGAGUAACGCGUAAAGAACCUGCCUUGGGUUUUGGGAUAACAGCGGGAAACUGCUGAUAAUACCGGAUAUAAUGAACUGUACGCAUGUAUGGGACAUGAAGAGAGAUGACCUGAGAGGGCUUUGCGCCCUAUUAGCUAGUUGGAGAGGUGAAGGCUCACCAAGGCGAUGAUAGGUAGCCGGCCUGAGAGGGUGGACGGCCACAAGGGGACUGAGAUACGGCCCUUACUCCUACGGGAGGCAGCAGUGGGGAAUAUUGGACAAUGGAGGGAAUGACUCUGAUCCAGCAAUUCUGUGUGCACGAAGAAGGUUUUCGGACUGUAAAGUGCUUUCAGCCGGGGAAGAAGGAAGUGACGUACCCGCGNAA